GAUGAAGAACGUAGUGAAAUGCGAUAAGUAAUGUGAAUUGCAGAAUUCAGUGAAUCAUCGAAUCUUUGAACGCACAUUGCGCCCGCCAGUAUUCUGGCGGGCAUGCCUGUUCGAGCGUCAUUUUAACCAUCAAGCCCCCGGCUUGUGUUGGGGACCUGCGGCUGCCGCAGGCCCUGAAAAGCAGUGGCGGGCUCGCUGUCACACCGAGCGUAGUAGCAUACAUCUCGCUCUGGGCGUGCUGCGGGUUCCGGCCGUUAAACCACCUUCAUAACCCAAGGUUGACCUCGGAUCAGGUAGGAAGACCCGCUGAACUUAAGCAUAUCAAUAAGCGGAGGA
rnacentral:misc_RNA from 1 species